AGCUAUAGUAGUUCUCUAUGUGUCCAAUAAUUAUGUUGAUAAAGGUGGCAGUGGUAAUGACUUGAUAUGUCUGUGAGAUAUGAAUGCCAAAGUCUUCGUUUUACAUGACAUGAAUUUUUAUGUAAAAGUGGUGGUUUUUCAUAAAUUCUACAUGUCCUUGCAAAUGAUGACCUCUACAAAGUUGUUCCAGGAGUACCAUAUUGCCUGACAAUCUUUUGUUUUGACAAUGCUAUUUACUAUAGGCACUUUUGUGUCCGGAGCAAUAUCUUGGAAGUGCUUUGGCGGAUUUCAUUGAAACUUGGUAUGAGUAUAUAUAUGCAUAAGAGGAUGAUGCACGCCAAAUGGCAUUGUACACCAUCUGUUAAAAACAGAGUUAUGGCCCUUUGUAUCUUGAAAAAAUGCUUUUUACUAUAGGCACUUUUGUGGCCAGAGCCAUAUCUUGGAAGUGCUUUGGCGGAUUUCAUUGAAACUUGGUAUGAGUAUAUAUAUGCAUAAGAGGAUGAUGCACGCCAAAUGGCAUUGUAUACAAUCUGUUAAAAACAGAGUUAUGGCCCUUUGUAUCUUGAAAAAAAUGCUUUUUACUAUAGACACUUUUGUGUCCGGAGCCAUAUCUUGGAAGUGCAUUGGCGGAUUUGAUUGAAACUUGGUAUGAGUAUAUAUCCCGUGCCAGAGGCGGAGGGAUAUUGUUUUGGCGUUGUCCGGCUGUUCGUCCGGCUGUCCGGCUGUCUGUCACUUUUGUGUCCGGAGCCAUAUCUUGGAAGUGCUUUGGGGUAUUUUAUUGAAACUUUGUAUGAGUAUAUAUAUGGAUAAGAGGAUAAUGCACGCCAAAUGGCAUUGUACACCAUCUGUUAAUAACGGAGUUAUGGCCCUUUGUAUCUUGUUUAAUUGUUAACUUAAACUGUACUUGAUUCUAGCAUGCCACUAUACUUCUUUGAAGUAAUUUGAGCAAAUUUCUCACUGUUUAGUAAUGUAUACAUUGUUUAAGGUACAUUAUAAUUUCACAUUUUGUAGGUGGACUUCAAUAUGUAUGAUCUACUUAUGCUGCCACAAUGUAAAGGCAACAAUCACUGGGUUUUGCUGGUUGCAAGUGUUAUGUCCAGGACUGUAACCAUUUACGACUGGUUGGGUGGUAACAACAAGGCAUUGUUCGAUUUGUUCUGCCAGGUCAUGUGUCAACGAGCGCAAAUUGUGAAAGAUGGCUUGGAAAAAAUUCAGUUCAGAGUUCAAAGCCCCACCUUGCAACAAACAGCGCCAUGGAAACAGCUGUGGAGUGUUUGCAUUGAUGACUGCCAAAUGUUUGGUCAUGAAAAAGCAUCCCACAAUGUUGCGACAGGCCCAUGAUUCAGUUUAUCGAGACUAGUCGUGAGACGCAGACUUCUGAUUCAUGGAGUGCGGCAAACAUAUCUGUGCGACUCGAUCACUCCACUGUAAAGACCCGCACGGCAUUAAAAUGGAUAUUAUCAA